rfam:Schistosoma haematobium scaffold5369_1, whole genome shotgun sequence.
AUCCAACUGAUGAGUCCCAAAUAGUAGGAAAUGUGCAUCCUGGAU